rnacentral:lncRNA from 1 species
UGCGAACUUGGACAAAAUACACUGGGGGUCUGGGCUGGAAGGCAGAUUCCUGCAAGUCCCCUCCUCUGGAGGAAGCUAAACAGCAAAGGCGUCGAGCGGCCCUGCCCGCUCCUUUUUGUGUGUAUAUACGAAGAACACAGGAACAGCUGUUCUUCUUUCAGUCAUUCCAACUAAAACAGACAUUUUGCAUAGAGAGAAUACCAGCCCACUUGGUUUCUUGUUUUUUAUUAUUGGCGUCAGCUAGGACUAUACGUGGCCUUAAACGUCAUGCACUGAUGGACAGAAGAGAAAAAAGGAUGAAAAAAAAGACAAAGGAGGGGAAAGAGGAGCAGCAGUGAAAAUUUGUAAUAAAAACUCUUCUUAAUUUAUAGACGUUCCGGUUCACGGGGGUGACAUAAUUGCGGGGAAACAUGCCGGUCUGCCCGUGGCAAGCUCCUUUCCACCAGUUGGGGUCUGAGUUAUCCAUGACAUGGAUAAAAUCUCCCCGGCGGAAGCCCAGCUCUCCAUCCUCCUGGGGAUCAAAGUCAAAGAGGGCCUGGACGUAUGUCGGCUGCUGCAAAACAGGAGCAGGAAAAACCCACAUUGCAUUCCUGGUCUGUGACUGGCCACCUCUGAGGCCAGAUGGGUUCCAGGGGGAAACGAAUGCGUGCCAAAUUCUCCAUGUUUCUUAAACUCACCUCCCAUCUCCCAUCUCCCCGUUUAUUCUUACCUAUUCUAAGUUUACAGGCCAAGCGGGUUUAGUGUGAUAUUUCCCAGUGCUCAGAAAAUAUUAGAGUAUGUCUCCCAGAGGAGGGUGGCCGAUUGUGCCGUAUUAUCAAGUAGAGGGCAGGCAGUGCUUGGAGGAGAAAGUUCUUCAGAAACAGCCAUCUGUGUUUAGGCCGUGGGCCCAGAAUCUGCAAAUCCCUUCUACGACACCCUUAAGGUAUUAAAGCCUAAAGUUCUGGAGCUCGAAUAACAUAAGGGGCUCUAACCGUAACUUACAACCAGGGCUCGAGGGACAGGAACGGGUGCCGACUCCAUUACCUCACAAGCAUAGUUUUCCUCAUAACUUGCUUCCAGGGACAGGAUCUUUGGGUGGGUGUGUUAAAGACCAUCUCCCUAGAGAGGCUGGCAAGCUGGCUACACACUACCUCUGGAAAAGCAAAAACCUUGUAUUUGAAACAACAAAUC